rnacentral:rRNA from 3 species
GGACUACAGGGGUAUCUAAUCCCGUUCGCUACCCUAGCUUUCGUGCCUCAGCGUCAGAAGAGACCCAGUGAGCCGCUUUCGCCACAGGUGUUCCUUAGGAUAUCAACGCAUUUCACCGCUCCACCCUAAGUUCCGCUCACCUCUGUCUCCCUCGAGCACGGCAGUCUUGGGCGCCAUUCCUCGGUUGAGCCGAGGGAUUUCACACCCAACUUUCCGCGCAGCCUACGCACCCUUUAAGCCCAGUGAUUCCGAAUAACGUUCGUACGGUUCGUCUUACCGCGGCUGCUGGCAC